rnacentral:lncRNA from 12 species
CUGGUUGAUGAUGGGGCCCCAGGUCUGCUGGUCUGGGAGGGCAGGCCCUGUCCGCCCUUGCACCCUCACUGGAUUUAACAAGCCCCGCAGCUGCAUCAUGUCCCCUCCCUGGCCUGGCUGUGAGGCCCCACACCCUGGGCUGGGAGCCCAGAGAGGCCUUGCUGAAGAGGCAUUUGGCCCUUCUCCCUGAAAUGCCGGCUUUGAUUUAUUUCCCAUCCCGGCCAGUGUUCUGCUGACCUGAUCCUAUAACCGCAUAAUUACAUUAUUAGCAUAUGAUGGAGCGCAGUACACCAUGUGUCCUGCUGGAGAGGAUUAGAAAAAAUCGCAGCUUCAGCAGAGGGAAGGGAGGGCGAGCUGGGGUGGGGAGACCUAGUGUGCCCCGUAGGCCCCCAUCUCCCCCACGGGUGAGGAAACCCACACCCAGAGAGAGAGGAUGGGGCUCCGCUGGGAAACCCAGCACUCCAUGAAACACAGAUCAAUGGGGCACCCCCCCAACCCCACCCCAUCCUUAAUAGGCCUUGGGGAAAGAGAUGAGAGCUUUUCCACAGCAGAGAUCCAGGUCCGAGCACAGAGGGCAGAGCUUCCACUCUGCAGGCUGAGGCCCCGCGUGGCCGCGCGGCUGUAAGAGAAGGGCGGGUGUCUGGGGCCCCUGUGAAGCCCUCGUGGGUCACAUCUCAGCACCUGCGGACCCCGAGCCAGGCCAUGGCAAAGCCCCGUAAGCCCGCGGGGCCAAGGGUCCUAGUCGCUCUGAUGGAGGGACCCCGCUGCAGGCUCGUCGUGGCCUGAGCCCGCGGAUUGCCUCCCGCUGUCCUUGGGGCUGCCUCUGGGGCCGCGCUCGGCGGAUCCGCCGGCUGAGGGAGAAGUUGCCCUCGGGCCUCGGGCGCUGAGCUCCCCGGGCGGGGUUCGGUCCGACCCAGCUCCGCGGCGCUGGCCGGCAGAGGGCCGGCCCCAGCAGGAUGCGCAGCAGCGGUGCCGCGGGCCCCGUGGGGCCGGCCUCGCUGCAGUUCGGGACUGCGGGGGCCGCUUGCUCCCUGCCCCUGCUCCCUGGGGUGUGGGGCUGGCGGGUGCUCUGCCGCCGGAGGGGCCAAGGGCUGAGGAGGCUGGCCUCCCGGUGGGCCGCAGGCAGGGUGCGCUGGGGGCCUGAUGGAAGCCCCGCGACAAGAAGGCGGGCGGCAGGGGCAGGUGCUCGCCAACAGUGCUGCCCCGGGCAUUCGUCCUCCCGGCGCCGGCGCCCACGCGAGCCUGCUCCGCUGCGCGGCCUCCGCAGCCUGCCCCUGCGCCUGGCCCUGCGCCCGGCCCUGCGCCCCCCGCCCCCGCUCCUGGCCGCUGCUCCUGCAGGCCCCCGCCGAACGUCCCGGAGCCUCUGGUCCAAAAGGCUCCCCCUCCGGGGAGGCCAGUCCCAGCUGCACUCAGCCCGGCCUCAUCUCCGGCGGGGGGAUUGCGGCCCCACAGGAAACUCCUUCACAUCCCAGGUACCUUCUCCGGCCAUUACUUCGACUGUUUCUGAUGACCUGCCAUCUUGCUACAAAAGUUAG